rnacentral:rRNA from 1 species
AUUGAACGCUGGCGGCAUGCCUUACACAUGCAAGUCGAACGGGCAGCACGGGAGCAAUCCUGGUGGCGAGUGGCGAACGGGUGAGUAAUAUAUCGGAACGUGCCCAGUCGUGGGGGAUAACGUAGCGAAAGUUACGCUAAUACCGCAUACGAUCUAAGGAUGAAAGCGGGGGAUCGCAAGACCUCGCGCGAUUGGAGCGGCCGAUAUCAGAUUAGGUAGUUGGUGAGGUAAAGGCUCACCAAGCCAACGAUCUGUAGCUGGUCUGAGAGGACGACCAGCCACACUGGAACUGAGACACGGUCCAGACUCCUACGGGAGGCAGCAGUGGGGAAUUUUGGACAAUGGGCGCAAGCCUGAUCCAGCAAUGCCGCGUGCAGGAUGAAGGCCUUCGGGUUGUAAACUGCUUUGUACGGAACGAAACGGUGAGCUCUAAUACAGUUUGCUAAUGACGGUACCGUAAGAAUAAGCACCGGCUAACUACGUG